rnacentral:rRNA from 1 species
UGGGAUUGCAGCUCUAAUUUGGUGGUAAAUUCCAUCUAAAGCUAAAUAUUGGUGGGAGACCGAUAGCGUACAAGUACCGUGAGGGAAAGAUGCAAAGAACUUUGAAAAGAGAGUUAAAGAGUACCUGAAAUUGCUGAAACGGAAGCGAAGGAAACCAGUGUUUGUUGGUUCAUAUUUCCUUA